rnacentral:rRNA from 1 species
CGUGGGUAACCUGCCUUAUAGUGGGGGAUAGCCUUUCGAAAGGAAGAUUAAUACCGCAUAAGAUUGUAGUAUCGCAUGAUAUAGCAAUUAAAGGAGCAAUUCGCUAUAAGAUGGACCCGCGUCGCAUUAGCUAGUUGGUGAGGUAAUGGCUCACCAAGGCGACGAUGCGUAGCCGACCUGAGAGGGUGAUCGGCUACAUUGGGACUGAGACACGGCCCAGACUCCUACGGGAGGCAGCAUG